GGGGGCAUAGCUCAGUUGGGAGAGCAGCAGACUGAAGCGCCUAGCGUAUUCUGAAGGUCCCGCGUUCGAUCCGCGGUGCCCCCA
rnacentral:tRNA from 1 species